rnacentral:rRNA from 1 species
GAUGAACGCUGGCGGCGUGCCUAAUACAUGCAAGUCGAGCGAACGGACGAGAAGCUUGCUUCUCUGAUGUUAGCGGCGGACGGGUGAGUAACACGUGGAUAACCUACCUAUAAGACUGGGAUAACUUCGGGAAACCGGAGCUAAUACCGGAUGAUAUUUUGAACCGCAUGGUUCAAAAGUGAAAGACGGUCUUGCUGUCACUUAUAGAUGGAUCCGCGCUGCAUUAGCUAGUUGGUAAGGUAACGGCUUACCAAGGCAACGAUGCAUAGCCGACCUGAGAGGGUGAUCGGCCACACUGGAACUGAGACACGGUCCAUGCUCCUACGGGAGGCAGCAGUAGGGAAUCUGCCGCAAUGGGCGAAAGCCUGACGGAGCAACGCCGCGUGAGUGAUGAAGGUCUUCGGAUCGUAAAACUCUGUUAUUAGGGAAGAACAUAUGUGUAAGUAACUGUGCACAUCUUGACGGUACCUAAUCAGAAAGCCACGGCUAACUACGUG